rnacentral:rRNA from 1 species
AACGAACGCUGGCGGCAUGCCUAACACAUGCAAGUCGAACGAGACCUUCGGGUCUAUUGGCGUCCGGGUUCGUAACGCGUGGGAACCUGCCCUUAGGUUCGGACUAACUCCCCGAAAGGGGUGCCAAUACCGGAUAAUGUCUUCGGACCAAAGAUUUAUUGCCUUUGGAUGGGCCCGCGUUGGAUUAGCUAGUUGGUAGGGUAAAAGCCUACCAAGGCGACGAUCCAUAGCUGGUUUGAGAGGAUGAUCAGCCACACUGGGACUGAGACACGGCCCAGACUCCUACGGGAGGCAGCAGUGGGGAAUAUUGGACAAUGGGCGAAAGCCUGAUCCAGCAAUGACGCGUGAGUGAUGAAGGCCUUAGGGUUGUAAAGCUCUUUUAACCGGGAUGAUAAUGACAGUACCGGGAGAAUAAGCUCCGGCUAACUCCGUG